AACCUCCGCAAUGUGAGAAAUCGCGACGGGGGGAUCCCAAGUGCCAUUCUUAACGGGAUGGCUUUUCAUUAGUGUAAAAAGCUUUUGGAAUAAGAGCUGGGCAAGACCGGUGCCAGCCGCCGCGGUAACACCGGCAGCUCUAGUGGUAGCAAUUUUUAUUGGGCCUAAAGCGUCCGUAGCCGGUUUAAUAAGUCUCUGGUGAAAUCCUGUAGCUUAACUGUGGGAAUUGCUGGAGAUACUAUUAGACCUGAGACCGGGAGAGGUUAGAGGUACUCCCAGGGUAGAGGUGAAAUUCUGUAAUCCUGGGAGGACCGCCUGUUGCGAAGGCGUCUAACUGGAACGGUUCUGACGGUGAGGGACGAAAGUUAGGGGCGCGAACCGGAUUAGAUACCCGGGUAGUCCUAACUGUAAACGAUGCGGACUUGGUGUUGGGGUGGCUUUGAGCUGCUCCAGUGCCGAAGGGAAGCUGUUAAGUCCGCCGCCUGGGAAGUACGGUCGCAAGACUGAAACUUAAAAGAAUU
rnacentral:rRNA from 1 species